GGCGGUCGAGUGCCUCACAGUGUAUCAAGGGUUGGCCACGUUCCUCACUAAUUGUGGCUAUUUGCGCCAUCGUCUCAUGCAAUGUUAUUUGAGAGAUGGCAAAAUAUAUAGUAUGUUUGUCUCCAAUGUGUUGAGACUGAGAAGAUAUUGUACCCGUGAAUUGAUGAAAAUUGAUUGAUUAUAUGUAAUGUUGAUUUCAUGAAAAACACGCUGUGUUGGAGGAACUCAAACAAAACAAGCAUAAAAUCCAAAAAAAAAAAAAAAAAAACAAAUCAAAUUUUAACAAACAAUAAUAAUACUGUGUGGUGCGCUGGCGUGGGGGAGUGGUUAUUCUCACAUUCCAGUCUGAUCGCUUUUUUUU
ensembl:ncRNA lncRNA:CR34335 long non-coding RNA:CR34335